GAAAAUGAGAGGUUUUUCUGAAUGCUUAUUAUUUGGCCAACAAGAAUUUUGUUGACCUGUCCAGGGUGCACAACAAUGGUUCAAAAGUCCUUUGGCUUUAGAAUGCUUGGGAGGUUCUGUGGUCAUUUAAAGCGCAAAAUGUAUGGAAGAAUUUAUUUUCCUUUUAUAAUGGAUAGAGGUUUUUAGGGAAAUGGAGGUCUUGCCCCACAUGCUGUCUGUGAUGAGAAAAGGUGGGUGACAUGGAAUAUCUGCCCAGAACCACUUUCUAAAAUUUGAAAGGGAUACAAUCAAAAUUCCAGGUUGCUGUCUGCUUCCCAUUUUCCCAACAGUUUCUUCAAAAGAUAGCAGCAAUACUUGGAUGUUUGUUAUGAAUUUUAUUCUUUAUGAAUGCAGGAUCUGUAGCAGGGCGUGUAGAAGCACACUACAAAAUGAUCAGCUGUGUGUUUCAGUUUCCACCCUUUUCUUUUUGUAGGUGAAAAUUGUAACUGGGUUUGGCAGGGUCAACUGGAUGUGAUUUAGGAACAGGGUGUGGGCUCUUCCUCUCUGUGAGGUCAUAUUCCAACACAGCCCCACCUGAGAUCAUUUUAAUGCUGCACAGAUUAGGGACGGAAUCUGGAAUUUUCCUCAUUUAUUUUGCAUUGCACUACAUGUGCACUUGCUUUGCUAGCUUUUGAGGGCCCCUGUAUCAACCAGCCUGUUUAAUUGUUAGAACAUAAUAUCACAGCAGAUAUCUUGCUGAGUUUUCACCUGCCUAAAAUCAUGAGUCAUGUCAAGCAUUAGA